rnacentral:rRNA from 1 species
AUAUCAAUAAGCGGAGGAAAAGAAACUAACAAGGAUUCCCCUAGUAACGGCGAGCGAAGCGGGAAGAGCUCAAAUUUGAAAGCUGGCACCUCCGGUGUCCGCGUUGUAAUCUCGAGACGUGUUUUCCGUGCGGCUCUAUGGACAAGUCCCUUGGAAUAGGGCAUCGUAGAGGGUGAGAAUCCCGUACUUGCCAUGGAAGAACCGUGCUUUGCGAUACACGCUCUAAGAGUCGAGUUGUUUGGGAUUGCAGCUCAAAAUGGGUGGUAGACUCCAUCUAAAGCUAAAUAUCGGGGAGAGACCGAUAGCGCACAAGUA